rnacentral:lncRNA from 10 species
UAUUAAGUUCCCUCUGUAUGCAGAAUAUUGUGCAACAUGGUUAUGGGUACUACAGUGGAUGUGAGUGUGUAGACCUUGUACAAUAGAGCUUAUAGGCUAAUGAGAAGACAGGAAGAAACAACAGGAACACAUAUAGCUGGAAUGCAGAUGGGAUCUGUGCUACUUACGCUAGCCAUGGGAUGAUUAGAACAAGAUAAGAGACAUGAGGAAGACUUCUUCAAGGAGGUGCUCAAGCCAUGUUUUGGAAAAGAGAACUCAAGGUCUGGCAGGGAGAAAGGAGCAAGGUCCUCUUCUCCCUGAAGGCUGUCACAGUUCCUGUGCAGAGAGAGAGGGCACUGCAGCACCCAGGCGCUGACUGCCUUUUGUCAGUCUCAUUUGCAGGCCCCCAGCUGGAGAACCCAGGAGGAAGAGGAAAAAAGUUUUUUCCUCCUCUACACUCCCCAUGCAUGACUAAAGAGUAGGAGGAGUCAGCAAGGCAGACAUAUAUAGUACCCAGGAGGUGGACAAACAACUGCCUUGGUGGAAACUCUGUCCUUUCUGGACUUAUCCUGGUGCCACUGAGACUGUGCAGGUCCCACACUUACAGGGAAAGCAUCACCCGAAAGUGAGAAUGCCUAGAGGCAGGAAUCAUGGAGGCUUCCUUAACCGUCUGUCUGCAACAGCAGGUGCUAGAGAUGACACUGCAGAGUAGAGAACAAAGGAAUCUUAGUAAUUGUUCAAUCCAAUCUCCACACUUUAAAGAUGAAGAAACUGGUAUUGAGAAAAAUACACAGCUUAUCCAAGGUUGCACUGCUGGUUGGUAGCUGAGAUGAAUUUAGAACCCACAUCUGAUGACUACACCAUAUUGCUCCCAGUUUUCCUGUCUGUUCCACAUGUAAAAGUCUGACUCUUCACUUCUCCUUUGAGUAUAUAGACUUUUAACAUUUUUGUAUGUCAAGAUGGACUUUUCCUCAUACCCAGCCCCUGCCUUUUCUCCUCCCUUCAUACCUUGCAGGAUCUUUAACAGAAUUUAAAAGGAGUUUUUUGUUUUGUUUUGAUGUAUCUAAUAAAAGUCAAGGGAGGGAGAGGGCCAGUAUAAGCAAGAGUACAGUUUCCUAGUUUGUAGAUGCGGUAGUCUGAGGAAUCAGAAACACACAAAGGUUUGGAGAACUGGUACAUGCUCCCAGGUGGGAAGCCAGGACUCUUGGUAGGAUCUUGAGGACAAGGCAAAGGACAAUAAGAGAGCGAGGGGAUCCUAGAGGUGGAAUCAAGGAAGAGAAACUAGAGAGAGAAAAAGGAACUGGCUAUCCAUCCAUGAUGGAUCCUGUGUGGACUGAUGGGUGGCUUGGCAUCAUCCUUUAGUAGACUUCAUGUGGUUGAAUAAUUGGCCAAUGGAAGGAAUUUCUUUUUUGGUAACAGACUCUGUGUGUACAGUUAUGGGUCUUAAUUUAUAAUAAAAGGUUACAUUGAAAAUUGAGCAUAUUGGCAACUUUGGGCUUUAAUAUUACUACUGUGCUAUUUAGGUCCCAACCAUCCUAGCUAAUCUGGGCAUUCUUGAAACAGCUCUCAUUAUUGGUAUGUCAAACCGUCUCAUAGGGCAUGUACUUAACAAAAGUGGAGUGAAGGGUUCAGGAUGCAUAAAUGGGGUGAAGCUCGUGGUAUUCCAUUCCUUUUUACUGAAGCCACUCCUACCAGCUGCCUUCUAGAUUGUUCACCUUAUAUGAGCAUGGUGCAGUAUAGAAGUUGUAGACUUUGGCCUCAGACAGAUCUAAAUUCUAAUCUCAGAUCACUACUUCCUGGUUGAGGACAAGAUUUCUUUAACCACCCCAAGUCCCAAUUUUCUCAUGUCUAAAAUGGCAGAAAUAAUGUGUACUUUGCAGGGUUGUUGUGAGAGUUAAGUAAUAUGGGUAAUGCACUUGGGACAGUGCUUCACACAAAAUUGUCAGUAAAUGGUGAUCUUUCUUUUCCUGGCACUACAAAGCUGAGGAGAGGAGGGAGGGAGGGAGAUGAAUGUCUGGAGGAAGAAAGGGCAGGAGUUUCUUCAUCUUUGAGUGAAGGAGCAUUGAGGGUUAGCAGGGAUAUAGGAAUAGUGAGUUGGCUGGGAAGAAAAAAAGGAUUAAAAGAGGAAAAGAAUAGGAAAAAAGAAGGAUACCAUGGAGAAAAUGGGCAACGGCCCCAGAAAGAAGAGCAAGAAUGGCAGUGAUGGUGAGCAUUGCUGGAAUGAUGGAAGGUUCUCCGGCCCCGGUGAUGCGUGGGCACCACCGGAGAGCUUGUUAGAAAUGCAGAGUCUCUGUCCCUCCCCAGACCCUCUGAAUCAUAAUUUGCAAUUUAAUGAGAGGUCCCCAGGUGAUUCCCAUAUCCAUUAAUUCUGCAGAGUUGAUGUUUUCAUCUGCGGUGGCGGGGGGCGG